rnacentral:rRNA from 1 species
GGCUCGAUAACUGGGGUGAAGUCGUAACAAGGUAGCCGUAUCGGAAGGUGCGGCUGGAUCACCUCCUUUCUAAGGAA